AUACGUAGGGUGCGAGCGUUGUCCGGAAUUACUGGGCGUAAAGAGCUCGUAGGUGGUUUGUCGCGUCGUCUGUGAAAUUCCGGGGCUUAACUCCGGGCGUGCAGGCGAUACGGGCAUAACUUGAGUACUGUAGGGGAGACUGGAAUUCCUGGUGUAGCGGUGAAAUGCGCAGAUAUCAGGAGGAACCACGGUGGCGAAGACGGGUCUUUGGGCAGUAACUGACGCUGAGGAGCGAAAGCAUGGGUAGCGAACAGGAUUAGAUACCCUGGUAGUCCAUGCCGUAAACGGUGGGCGCUAGGUGUAGGGGUCUUCCACGACUUCUGUGCCGUAGCUAACGCAUUAAGCGCCCCGCCUGGGGAGUACGGCCGCAAGGCUAAAACUCAAAUGAAUUGGCGGGG
rnacentral:rRNA from 1 species